rnacentral:rRNA from 1 species
AGAGUUUGAUCCUGGCUCAGGAUGAAUGCUAGCGGCAGGCCUAACACAUGCAAGUCGAGGAGUAACAGGAAUAGCUUGCUAUUUGCUGACGACCGGCGCACGGGUGCGGAACGCGUAUGGAACCUGCCCCUGUCAGGGGAAUAGCCCAGAGAAAUUUGGAUUAAUGCCCCAUGGUAUCGAAUCACCGCAUGGUGAUUUGAUUAAAGAUUUAUCGGACAGGGAUGGCCAUGCGUACCAUUAGCUUGUUGGUGAGGUAACGGCUCACCAAGGCAACGAUGGUUAGGGGCCCUGAGAGGGGGAUCCCCCACACUGGUACUGAGACACGGACCAGACUCCUACGGGAGGCAGCAGUGAGGAAUAUUGGACAAUGGCCGAAAGGUUGAUCCAGCCAUGCCGCGUGCAGGAUGACGGCCCUAUGGGUUGUAAACUGCUUUUACAUGGGAAGAAACCUCCCCUCGUGAGGGGAGCUGACGGUACCAUGAGAAUAAGGACCGGCUAACUCCGUGCCAGCAGCCGCGGUAAU